CGGACUUAAAAUCCGUCGACUUUAUAAGUUGUGAGGGUUCAAGUCCCUCUAUCCCCA
rnacentral:tRNA from 2 species